CACCACCACCACUUCCACCUCUGUUACCACCACCGCCACCUCGCUUUUCUCUUUCGUCAUAGCCAUAACCUCCGCCACCAUCUUCAAUUCGAACAUGUUGUAGUAACCUAAUUUCAUUUAAGAAAGAGACUUUUCGGACAUAAUAAACGAUAGAUAAAUAAAUUCUGGUUGGAAAUUAGUAGAUGAAUCAACUGAGAUCGAGAUAUAAUCAUUAUUAUCAUCAGUUCAUCAUUAAGAUUCAAGAGAAAUCUCUUUUUAGGAUUUAAUUUCUGUUGCAUGUCUUAGGGGUACUAAUACUAUAGAUUGGUGUAGUAGAAUUGGAGUCGGAUGAGUUGGAGGUGGUGCUGGUGGAAGUGGAGGAUUAGGUUGUGGAGUAUGAGAUGCUUCUGUGUUGGUGAUGGACGAGAAUUCAUUUUCUCAUAUUGGGUACUCUGCAUAUUAAUUUGAUCUUCUCGUAAUUGAAUCUUUGUGGUAUUAAAUUUCUGUUGAAUUUCUUGUAUGUAUCUAAUUGUUGAGUGCAGUUCUUAAGGCACUGGUACUAGUACUAGCUUUACUAAUGAAUUUCAAUGGCUUAUCUCAGAUCAGGAAGCAGAUGUUGAGUUUGACGGAGGCAAACAGAGGCUAGAAUUUUUAACACGCAGGACGCACCAUUUGAGGAAGAUAUAUGGCGUAUUGGGUGGCAGAAUAGUGGAAUGCAAUCCAAGAACGAGAAGGAUAUGAUUCUUCUAGGAGGUAUCGUUUUAGUGUGCAAACUAUUGAAAUUGUUUUUGCUAUGAAUUUCAUAAUUUCAUGGAAAUUUUGUUUUGGGAACUGUUUGGUAGGGCUUGAAGGUUGGUAUCAGAACGUUUAGGCUAGAAACACAAAACAAACAAGUUUUAAACCCAUAAAUGGGCUCAACUCCUGUUAUUGACCCAAUUUUUUAUGGGAUCAACUAUGGUUAUUGAUCCAUUUAUGGGAUCAAUUCCUGUUGUUAAC